AGAGUUUGAUCAUGGCUCAGGAUGAACGCUAGCUACAGGCUUAACACAUGCAAGUCGAGGGGCAGCAUGUUGGUUGCUUGCAACCAAUGAUGGCGACCGGCGCACGGGUGAGUAACGCGUAUCCAACCUACCCUUGUCCAUCGGAUAACCCGUCGAAAGGCGGCCUAACACGAUAUGCGGUUCUCAGCAGGCAUCUAACGAGGACGAAAUGUGAAGGAGAAGGAUGGGGAUGCGUCUGAUUAGCUUGUGGCGGGUAACGCCACAAGGCGACGAUCAGUAGGGGUUCUGAGAGGAAGGUCCCCANAUUGGAACUGAGACACGGUCCAAACUCCUACGGGAGCA
rnacentral:rRNA from 1 species